GAGGCAGAUAUUCUUCAAAGGAGCUACGGGGAAAGGGUGCUUUUCAGUCAGAAACUUCCCCCAAUUAGAUUUAAGUUAGUUAAAAGUAUUCAAAGUCAGGUAAGAGUUGUAAACGCUGGAAGCUUAGGGUGCUCCCUGAAGGCACUACACUAUAUGAAAGUAAAGGAUCAUGGGAAAUGGUGGAGCCUGGCUCCUGGCGUGAAGCCCUUGUAGUUAAAUAUUAAAAUAUUAUGGGAAUUAUUGAAAACAUGAUUUAAAACCACCCUCCUCUUUUUAUUUAACAAAUGGGGAUAGAACUCAAAAAAGGAAGUUAUCAACACGGGCGGGCAGCCUUGUGACACAGCUGGUUAGGACAUUGGCUUGGGACACGCACAUCCCAGUGCUGGGAGUCCUAGCUGCUCCGCUUCAGGGCCAGCUCCCUGCUAAUGCUCCUGGGAAGGCAGGAGGUGGCCCAAGGCCUUGAGCCCCUGCCCCCAUGUGGCAGCCGGACUCCUGUCCAUUUGUGAAACAGUAAAUGAAAGAGUCAUGUUUCUUUCUCCCUUUCUCUCUCGCUCUCCUCUCUCGCUCUCGCUCCCCACCCUCCUUUUUUCUGACACCCUCCCACCCAAACACAUACAGUGUUGUUAUUCCAUUUCCUCAAGGUGACUGGAUCAGCCUCCCCAAUUUUGCUGUCUUUUCUGAUAAUAGGGAGCUAAUGUCACCACUGUUGAGACUAAAGAAAAACAUAACAGUUGGGAACAAGUCAAACAAGUAUGUAUGACCUUGUAACCAAGCUGGGAGGUGACCACCAAAAGGAUGAUCACAUGUGGAAUUCUUCCUUCUCCUACAGAGAUCACAUUCCUUGGCCACUUUUAUAAGUGAGGGGAGAAAUACCUACAUCAUUUAAACAACAGGAUUUUUUUUUUUUUGCUAAAGAUGUCAGUAGUGUUUUUAUUAAUACAAGAUGGCAGGCAGGACUUUACACCAGAAACUUCAUUAUCAGAGUACAUCUUCUUACCCAUUCCACUUCCAUGAUCUUGUAUUUUCCUUUCUUUUCUGAACUAGCAGCUUUGUGAAGGAUAGAAUCCUCAGAGACUCCCAAACAUGCCAUGUUCAACUUUUCCUCAAACUGCUAGGAUUGUUCUCUUGUCUCCGUUGAGGGCAAGCUCAAGAGCCAGUCACCAUGAUAAGAAAGACCUUUUCCUAUUUUGGAGCCAUUAUAAUUUUCAAUUAUUAUUUGAGAAUCUUAUUAUUCACUCAAUAUUUACAUAUAGUCUGCCUGUAUUUGCUUAAUUAUUUUCAGUGCUAAGUUCUUAGAAUUCUGUAAAAAUAUUUUUAUUUCUUACAGUCCCGUCAGUACCUAGUGUACACGGCAAAUGUUUAAGACAACAGAUAUGAAAUGCAUUAUUUAGCAGAAGUUUUUAGGUAAAAAUGUGAGUAAUGCAAAAACUGCAAUUGAUUGUUCUGUAGACAAAAAUCUAUAAGGGAAAAAUAAGGAUAUGUUUUUACUGAUGUUAUGGAAUUCUCUUUCUUAAAAAAGAACUUAUUUGAUAAACAGAGUUACAGAGAGACAGAAAGAGAGGAAGAGACAGAGAGAUCUUCCGUCUGCUGGUUCACUCCCCAAAUAGCAAUGGCCAGUGCUGAGCCAGUCUGAGGUCAGGAGCCAGGAGCUUCUUUCAUGUCUCCCAAGUGGGUACAGGGGCCAAAGCACUUGAACAAUCCUCCACUGCUUUCCCAGGCGCAUUAGAAGGAAACUGGAUCAGAAGUGGGGAAGCUGGAAUCUGAACUGGUGGUGCCCAUAUGGGAUACUGGCACUACAGUGGUGGCUUUACCUGCUAUGCCACAGCUCCAGCCCCUGGAAUUCUCUUUUAUAAUGAUAUAAUUAUAACACAUGAGUAUCAUACCAAGAUUCUCUGUUCAGUAUUUUAUCCAUUUCUAAUCUCAAUUGAUCCUUCUAACAAUCUUGUCAUAUAACUGCUAUUUUGUCCAUUUUAUAAAUAAAAAAGUAGUAUAAGUUAUUUAAAUUUCUUAA
rnacentral:lncRNA from 1 species